UUAUAUGUGAGGAGUUGAGAUCCUCCGCAGUGGAAACAAGGAAACACUUGCGACUGAUCUCACAA
rfam:Prochlorococcus marinus str. NATL2A, complete genome.